rnacentral:rRNA from 1 species
AUUGAACGCUAGCGGGAUGCUUUACACAUGCAAGUCGAACUAGUGGCGGACGGGUGAGUAAUAUAUCGGAACGUGCCCAGUAGCGGGGGAUAACUACUCGAAAGAGUGUCUAAUACCGCAUACUCUUGGAGCGGCCGAUAGCGGAUUAGAUAGUUGGUGGGGUAACGGCGCACCAAGGCAACGAUCCGUAGCUGGUUGGAGAGGACGACCAGCCGCACUGGGACUGAGAAACGGCCCAGACUCCUCCGGGAGGCAGCAGUGGGGAAUUUUGGACAAUGGGGGAAACCCUGAUCCAGCCAUCCCGCGGGUAUGAGAAGGCCUUCGGGUUGUAAAGUGCUUUUGGCAGAGAAGCGGUAUCUGCAGAAUAAGCACCGGCUAACUACGUGCCAGCAGCCGCGGUAAUAC